AACAUCGCGCACCUGCGGGAACCUGCGGAGGGAUCAUUAUAGGAAAUUUUCAAAUACCCAAGUUGUGAGGGGGGAGGAGGGAGGUUGGAAUGGAAUGGAAUGGAAGGGGUGGUCCUUUCUUUCUUUCUUUCCGGCUUUUUUUUUCCCCUCUUGCUUCUUCAAACAAACUAUCGCAACUAUAACAAAAGAGGGGAAUUGGAUGGAAUUGACUUGGUUAUAUUUAUAAGAAAAGAAAAAAGU
rnacentral:misc_RNA from 1 species